GACAGAGGGUGCAAACGUUGUUCGGAAUUACUGGGCGUAAAGCGCGUGUAGGCUGCUUCGCAAGUCGGAUGUGAAAGCCCUGGGCUCAACCUAGGAAGUGCAUUCGAAACUGCGAAGCUCGAGUCCUGGAGAGGAAGGCGGAAUUCUCGGUGUAGAGGUGAAAUGCGCAGAUAUCAGGAAGAACACCCGUGGCUAAGGCGGCUCUCUAGUACGGUACUGACGCUGAGACGCGAAAGCGUGGGGAGCGAACAGG
rnacentral:rRNA from 1 species